rnacentral:rRNA from 1 species
AAUUAUCUACAUUCAAUAGCGGAGGAAAAGAACCCACCAGGGAUUGCCUCAGUAACGGCGAGUGAAGCGGCAACAGCUCAAAUUUGAAAUCUGGCUUCGGUCCGAGUUGUAAUUUGCAGAGGAAGUCUCGGGUGCGAUACCGGUCUAAGUUCCUUAGAACAGGACGUCAUAGAGGGUGAGAAUCCCGUAUGCGACUGGUGGUCAACCCCAUGUGAGGCCCCUUCGACGAGUCGAGUUGUUUGGGAAUGCAGCUCAAAAUGGGUGGUAAAUUUCAUCUAAAGGCUAAAUACCGGCCAGAGACCGAUAGCGCACAAGUAGAGUGAUCGAAAGAUGAAAAGCACUUUGGAAAGAGAGUUAAACAGUACGUGAAAUUGUUGAAAGGGAAGCGCUUGCAACCAGACUUGCUCGCGGGUGAUCCACCGCCCUUCGGGGUGGUCUACUCGCCCGCGAUCAGGCCAACAUCGGUUUCGGUGGCUGGAUACAGACCCCGGGAAUGUGGCUCCCUUCGGGGUGUGUUAUAGCCCGGGGUGCAAUGCAGCCCACCGGGACCGAGGACCGCGCUCCGGCUAGGAUGUUGGCGUAAUGGUUGUCAGCGACCCGUCUUGAAACACGGACCAAGGAGUCUAACAUCUAUGCGAGUGUUUGGGUGUCAAACCCAUACGCGUAAUGAAAGUGAACGGAGGUGGGAACCCCUUGGGGUGCACCAUCGACCGAUCCUGAUGUCUUCGGAUGGAUUUGAGUAUGAGCAUAGCUGUUGGGACCCGAAAGAUGGUGAACUAUGCCUGAAUAGGGUGAAGCCAGAGGAAACUCUGGUGGAGGCUCGCAGCGGUUCUGACGUGCAAAUCGAUCGUCAAAUUUGGGUAUAGGGGCGAAAGACUAAUCGAACCAUCUAGUAACUGGUACCUGUCGAAUUUUCCCCU